rnacentral:rRNA from 1 species
AACGAACGCUGGCGGCAUGCCUAACACAUGCAAGUCGAACGAGACCUUCGGGUCUAGUGGCGCACGGGUGCGUAACGCGUGGGAACCUGCCCUUAGGUUCGGAAUAACUCCCCGAAAGGGGUGCUAAUACCGGAUAAUGUCUUCGGACCAAAGAUUUAUCGCCUUUGGAUGGGCCCGCGUUGUAUUAGCUAGUUGGUAGGGUAAAAGCCUACCAAGGCGACGAUCCAUAGCUGGUCUGAGAGGAUGAUCAGCCACACUGGGACUGAGACACGGCCCAGACUACUACGGGAGGCAGCAGUGGGGAAUAUUGGACAAUGGGCGAAAGCAUGAUGGAGCAAUGCCGCGUGAGUGAUGAAGGCCUUAGGGUUGUAAAGCUCUUUUACCCGGGAUGAUAAUGACAGUACCGGGAGAAUAAGCUCCGGCUAACUCCGUG